AUCUUCAGAGACACCAUUGGUCUUGGACAAACCACAAUACUUGUCAAACAUGUCCAAAUGAUCAAGUGGAUCCUCCAAAGCAAGACCAUGGUACUUGUUGUUCUCUAUCAUGUUGAUCAAACUGGAUUUGAUCUCAAAGUUGUUGUUCUCCACAGUUGGUGCUCUAAUGCCCAUCCUAUUCCCAUGGAUAUGAGGCUGAUCAUAGGUGCCAAUAGCUCUAGCUUGGCGUUGAUUCCCCUCCAUCUCAAGCUCAACUCUGUCCAAAUGAGUUUUCUUUUCUUCUUCUCUUCUCUUCUUUACAAUCUCCCUUUCAAAAGCUCUGAUGUCUUCAACUCCUCAAGUACAUGUACCUGACAUUCAAAAGAGCUAGGAGAAAGAAUCAGUAACUAGAUAUAAGAAAAUAAGACUUAGUCUCAAGCAAGGACCAAAUCUCAAUGUCAAAAU
rnacentral:lncRNA from 1 species